rnacentral:rRNA from 1 species
AUACGUAGGGAGCGAGCGUUGUCCGGAAUUACUGGGUGUAAAGGGAGCGUAGGCGGGACGGCAAGUCAGAUGUGAAAUACAUGGGCUCAACCCAUGGGCUGCAUUUGAAACUGCUGUUCUUGAGUGAAGUAGCGGUAAGCGGAAUUCCUGGUGUAGCGGUGUAAUGCGUAGAUAUCAGGAGGAACACCGGUGGCGAAGGCGGCUUACUGGGCUUUUACUGACGCUGAGGCUCGAAAGCGUGGGGAGCAAACAGGAUUAGAUACCCUGGUAGUCCACGCUGUAAACGAUGAUCACUAGGUGUGGGGGGACUGACCCCUUCCGUGCCGCAGUUAACACAAUAAGUGAUCCACCUGGGGAGUACGGCCGCAAGGUUGAAACUCAAAUGAAUUGACGGGG